rnacentral:rRNA from 1 species
CCCCACUGCUAUCGGGGUGGGACUAAAACAUGCAAGUCGAGCGCCUCCAAGCUAUGGUGAAGGCGCGGCAAACGGCUCAGUAACACGUGGCCAACCUACCCUUGGGACGGAGACAACCCCGGGAAACUGGGGCUAAUCCCCGAUAGGUAAGGAAUCCUGGAAUGGAUCUUUGCUGAAAGGGCGUCUAGACCAUGCUUCUUGACGUCGCCCAAGGAUGGAGCCGCGACCGAUCAGGUAGUUGGCGAGGCAACGGCUCACCAAGCCUAUAACCGGUACGGGCCGUGAGAGCGGGAGCCCGGAGAUGGGCACUGAGACAAGGGCCCAGGCCCUACGGGGCGCAGCAGUUGCGAAAACUCCGCAAUGCGCGAAAGCGUGACGGGGCUACCCCGAGUGCCGCCCGUUGAGGGCGGCUUUUCCGCGGUGUAAGGAGCCGUGGGAAUAAGGAGAGGGCAAGACUGGUGUCAGCCGCCGCGGUAAUACCAGCUCUCCGAGUGGUGGGGACGAUUAUUGGGCUUAAAGCGUUCGUAGCCGGCUUAACAAGUCUUCCGUUAAAUCCAACGAUCUAAUCGUUGGGCUGCGGGAGAUACUGUUGGGCUAGGAGGCGGGAGAAGCCGACGGUAUUCUCGGGGUAGGGGUGAAAUCCUGUAAUCCCGGGAGGACCACCAGUGGCGAAGGCGGUCGGCUAGAACGCGCUCGACGGUGAGGGACGAAAGCUGGGGGAGCGAACCGGAUUAGAAACCCGGGUAGUCCCAGCUGUAAACGAUGCGGGCUAGGUGUUGGGGUGGCCACGAGCCACUUCAGUGCCGCAUGGAAGCAAUUAAGCCCGCCGCCUGGGGAGUACGGCCGCAAGGCUGAAACUUAAAGGAAUUGGCGGGGGAGCACCACAAGGCGUGAAGCUUGCGGUUU